GGGACGCAAGCCUGAUGCAGCCAUGCCGCGUGUAUGAAGAAGGCCUUAGGGUUGUAAAGUACUUUCAGCGGGGAGGAAGGUGAUAAGGUUAAUACCCUUGUCAAUUGACGUUACCCGCAGAAGAAGCACCGGCUAACUCCGUGCCAGCAGCCGCGGUAAUACA
rnacentral:rRNA from 1 species